UACGGAGGAUCCGAGCGUUAUCCGGAUUUAUUGGGUUUAAAGGGUGCGUAGGCGGCCUAUUAAGUCAGGGGUGAAAGACGGUAGCUUAACUAUCGCAGUGCCUUUGAUACUGAUGGGCUUGAAUGUAGUUGAGGUAGCGGAAUGUGACAAGUAGCGGUGAAAUGCAUAGAUAUGUCACAGAACACCAAUUGCGAAGCAGCUUACUAAAGUAUGAUUGACGCUGAGGCACGAAAGCGUGGGGAUCAAACAGG
rnacentral:rRNA from 1 species